CAUUUUUUAACUUCCAAUGCGGCUGUGGAGAGUGUACCAUCUUGGGUCAUGUCACUGGCAGAGAUAAGUGUUUAAGCUCCAAGCCACCUCAAAUUAAAAGAUGCACUUGUGAUACUGCUUGUAGUGAUACAGUAUCACCGACAGAAAUUUCUGUAAGCUUCUUCAUGAAAGCCCUAAAUAAAGAAACUCGCAAAAUCCAUUCGAAAUUUUGUAGCUUACUUACAAACACGAUUAUAAAUCUUGAAAAACAAGAACAAUAUGAUCUCACGCAAUACGUUCAGAAGUUGUUAACACCACAAGGUUCGUAUUUUAGCCAAAUUUAUCGUAGCCCUUCUGAACAGAUUUUGCUCUGUGAUGCUAUCAGCUUUAAUGAUUUAAUUGAGUUUCUACAGAAUAAUUUCUGCUCUUGGUUCAAUUACUCACGAAUAUCCGAAAUACGAGAAGAAUUUCUUUUCCCAUAUGAGGACGAUGAAGCAUUACACAAAUAUGAGUGUUUGUUUCAGCAAUAAUUAUGUUAAUCGACGAUGUUUUCUAUUUGUUGAUGACUUUGAAUGACCAAGAAUUGAAUUGCCACCUCAAAUUAAAAGAUGCACUCGUGAUACUCCUUAUAGCGGUACAGUAUCAGCCACGGAAAUCUCAUAUAGUAUGUUCAUGACAGCCCUGCGUAAAGAAACAAAAUAUAUGCACACGAAGUUUUGUAGCUUACUCAAAAACACGAUUACGAAUCUGGAAGCAAAGUAUGAUGUUCCUGAAAUAAAGCAGUUCGUCCAGAUGCUUUUCACACCACAAGAAUCGCAUUACAACGCAAUUUAUCGUAGACCUUCUGAGCAGAUUCUCUUCCGUGAUGUUACCAGCUUUAGCGAAUUAUCUGACUUCCUACAAAAUAAUGUCUGCUCUUGGUUUAAUUAUUCACUCAUUUCCACAAUAAAAGAAGAAUUUCUUUUCCCAGUGAAGGAAAAUGAUCCAAGCUUUACAGAGAUACAAGGAUUGGUUUCAGCAAUAUGUUAAUCGACAAUGUUUUCUAUUUGUUGAUGACUUUGGCCCUCAGCCGUCUCACAUUCAAUCAGUGGAGAUAACAUGUAAGGUUGAUGUUGAUUUUCAUACAAUCACCUACGAUCAAAUUCAAGAAUUGAAGUUAGUAUUUAUAGAAUGCUGGGAACAAGAACUACCACACCAAGUUCUGAAUUUGAAGCAUGUUCGAGAAGGCUGUACAGAGCUGGUGUUUCGAGUUCCAGCUUAUUUUAGUCAUUUUUACAGCCAAUUGAGUCCUAAACAGAUGCAGGACCUGAAAGAAAAUGCAUUCAUUGAAGUCAAAAUUGGUCAACAAGUAUUACUGAAGGAAGAAGUUAAUUCAACAAAGAAGCUGCUAAAAGCGUUUGGCGAGGAUGGUCUUAUAAUGGCUGAUUCAAAACAGCGGGAUAUCAUGCAGAUGCCUUGACUUUUUUGUUAACAACCACAGUGACGUUUGGAUGUCCAAGAUACUGUGUCGAUGCUGCACUCUAACUACUAGCAAGGAGAGGAGAAAAUAUUCUUCUUCCUUUGUAUGAUUACUAUCUUUAUACUCAUUUUUGCUGUUACAACAAUCUUCACCGCAAUACUCAUACUAGGCCAAGAAUCAAACAGCUUUGGUGGUUCAGUACAUAUCACUCAACUGAUCCAGCAGUCAGUACUACCUAUAGCUCGAGUCGGACUGAAUGUAAAGCAACUAACAAUCAACGAGAUAGCAAAUACUCAAAUUAUUCCGAUUUACUUUAACAUUAGCAAUUGUGAUGAUAUCAGAAAAGAAAAUUCCACAAUAUACGAGGAAGGAAUACUCACUCCAGAAGAAAAUACUCCAAUUUAUGAGCUCUACACAGAAUAUAUCGCCUCUUUGAGGUUGCAAAUUCAAUUAUCAGCAGAUUAUAAUAACAGCUCAGAUCAAGAAUGUCCAGUUGUUUUGGUAGUUUUUGACAAUGUUGAUGAAUAUAAAUCGUUUUUGAACAAUGGAAACUGGAUGUUUACCUAUAUGGAGUACUGCAUCAAGAACGAUAAUUUCUCGAUCAGUAUCAUGCUUGCAGGAAAUAGCUAUUAUUUUUUUGGUGUUCACUUUGAAGCUAACUCACAUGUCAUGGGAGACAUAACUUAUUGUAUCAAUGGUUGGAAGGAGGAAAACUCAACUAGCUCGUUCACAAGCCUUUGCUCAAUAACAUCCACAGCUACAACAGAGUGCAAUCAUAACUUUGACAGUUCUGUGAACGCACCAGAAUUGUGUAUCGUAGGAGUUGUUCCCAAACGAAAUGCUAGUGAUGUAGUAAGGAAAGUAAAAAUCCAGUAUUCGUAUUCAAUAUUGUCAUCAAUGGCAUUAUUAUUUUUGCUUGGUUUGUGGCUACUACUAAUUACAUCAUUUCUUCUGUGGCUUUUAGUGCCAAUCUUCUACAAUUGUUGUAAGAAACUGAAGUACUGUACGAAACUGAAAAAAGACUCAGAGGGAUCAGUUGUGCUUCCCAAUCGACGUGAAUUAUACAAAACUUUAGAACUGACAUUGAUAUAAAAGUAAAUUAAGAAAAAACGAAUAGAGUUGCUCCAAAAUAGAAUAUAUUUAGAUCAUUAACAUUUUAUGGAAUCUCUGUGUAUUUUUUUUAGUAUUCACGGUGUGUAUGAAUGGGUUCUGAGCGCUUUUGCGCAAGAGAAAAUAAA